AGUGAACGCUGGCGGUAGGCCUAACACAUGCAAGUCGAACGGCAGCACAGUAAGAGCUUGCUCUUACGGGUGGCGAGUGGCGGACGGGUGAGGAAUACAUCGGAAUCUACUUUUUCGUGGGGGAUAACGUAGGGAAACUUACGCUAAUACCGCAUACGACCUACGGGUGAAAGCAGGGGAUCUUCGGACCUUGCGCGAUUGAAUGAGCCGAUGUCGGAUUAGCUAGUUGGCGGGGUAAAGGCCCACCAAGGCGACGAUCCGUAGCCGGUCUGAGAGGAUGGACGGGCCCACUGGAACUGAGAACCGGUCCCGACUCCUACGGGGGGGCGCAGUGGGGAAUUUUGGGCAAUGGGGGAAAACCUGACCCAGCCAAUCCGCGGGGGGGAAAAAGGUCUUCGGGUUUUAAAACCCUUUUUUUGGGGAAGAAAAACCGGCCGGGUAACUCUGGGUGGGGUGACGGGACCCAAAAAAAAAACCACGGCUAACUUCGUG
rnacentral:rRNA from 1 species